rnacentral:rRNA from 1 species
AUGGUGAUGGGGUACUCCCCCUCUGAGUCAGUGGCCUUUGCCAACCGGCUUAAUUGCCGCCUGGGCUCUUUCCCCACUUCCUAUCUGGGGACGCCCAUUAGUGACUCGCGUCUUUCUGUCGCUGACUUGCGCCCCUCCGUGACCAAGCUUCAGACCAGAUGCGAGCCCUGGCAGGGGAGGUGGCUCUCUAAGGCGGCCCGGACUAUCCUUAUCAACUCAUCCCUAUCCAGCCUCCUCUUGUUUCUUAUGAGCUUCUACAGCCUCCAUGAAUCUCUCCAUAAGGAGAUCGCCAAGAUUCAGUCCCGAUUCUACUAGGCUGGCGAACCGGGCAAG